GCCCGGCUAGCUCAAUCGGUAGAGCGUGAGACUCUUACUCACGUUCUGAACAACGCGAUUAUUCAAUCUCAAGGUUGUGGGUUCGACCCCCACGUCGGGCU